rnacentral:lncRNA from 1 species
UCUUUCUUUUUUUGGAGACGGAGUGUCACUCUGUUGUCUAGGCUGGAGUGCAGUGGCGUGAUCUCAGCUUACUGCAAGCUCUGCCUCCCAGGUUCAAGCUAUUCUCCUGCCUCAGCCUCCCGAGUAGCUGGGACCACAGGCAAACACCACCAUGCCUGGCUAAUUUUUGCAUUUUUAGUAGAGACAGGAUUUCACCAUUUUAGCUGGGCAGCUCUCGAACUCCUGACCUCAGGUGAUCUGCCUGCCUCGGCCUCCCAAGGUGCUGGGAUUACAGGCGUUAGCCACAGUGCCCGGCCAUAUUUUCUGAAGCACUGGAAGAUUGAGUGGCCUAGUCAUCAAACAGUUCAUUUCUGUGAUCUGUGUAAAAAGACCCCACAUACCUACAUCUUAGUGUAGAGUAGCAGUUCUCAAUGUGGGUCGAGGGUCUAGGACAUGGUUUUGCCUCUGAGGAGACGUUUGUCUAGGGACAUUUUUGAUACUUGUGACUGGGGGAAGGGGUGUCAAUCUUAUCUAAAGGAUAGAGGCCAGGAUGCUGCCAAAUACCUUAUAAUAUAGAAGACACUCCCCACAACAGAGUAUUGUCCAGCUCAAAAUAUCACCAGUGCCAAGGCUGAGAAACCUUCAUCUAGGGUGGCAGAGUUACCAUGAAAUUUCAUGCUCAUUGAACUUGGAUGAGGUACUGACUAGUACUAUAUUAUCAAGUAUCUAACUCUAUUUCUCGUCUCCUUAAUUUUUUUCUCAUAUAGAUGUUCCACUUUGAGCAGUAGUAAAGAUUUUCUUUCCCAUUAUCUCUAUUCUUAUUCAUGAUCGGAAUGAGUCCUGUGAGGUCACCAGGGCCUCUAAGUUGUUAAAGGGUACACUUGGGAGGGGAGAGGCUACAAAAUAUGAAAAGAAACUUGUUAUUACUUUGGAGGUGGCCAUUUGCCCAUUCAGACAGGUAAGAGAGUCUGGGUAUGGUGGCUCAUGCCUGUAAUUUCAACAUUUGGGAGGCCAAGGCAGGAGAAUUGCUUGAGCUCAGGAGUUCAAGAAAGACCAGCCUGGGCAACAUAGCAAUACUCUGUUUCUACAAAAAAAUUAAAAAUUAUCCAGACGUGGUGGUGUGCAGCUGUAGUCAGGGCUACUUCGGAGGCUGAAGUGGGAAGAUCACUUGAACCUGGGAGGUCAAGGCUGCAGAGAGCCAUCAUCAUGCCACUUCACUUCAGCCUGGGAAACAGAGUGAGACCUUGAAGAAGAAAGAAAGAAAGGAAAGGAAGAAGAAAGAAAGAAAGGAAGGAAGGAAGAAAGGAAGGAAGGAAGAAAGAAAGCAAGAAACCACAACUGGAAGCCUUAGGAGGUUGGCAUGUAGUGGAUAUUUCUUUUCCAUUCCCUAAACUGACUUCCCAUUAAAAGAUAUUUUGCAGACAAGCCACAGCCCGGGAGAAGAUAUAUGCAAAAUACACGUGUGAUAAAGGACUUGCACCCAUAAUAUACAAAGAAUUCUUAAAACUCAGCAAUAAAAAAAUAGACAAUGCAAUUAAAAAGCAGGCAAAAAUCUGAACAGACUCUUCACCAAAGAAGAUGUGCAGCUGGCAAAUAAGGAUAUGAAAAGGUGCUCCACAUCAUAUGUUAUUAGGAAUUGCAAACUAAAACAACGAAAAACAACUACACACCUGUUAGAAUGGCAAAAAUCCAAAAACACUGAUAAAAUCAAAUGUACACAAGGAUCUGUCCUUCAUUGCUUGUGGGAAUGCAAAAUGGCACCUUGAAAGACAAUUUGGUGGUCUCUUACAAAGCUAAACUUCAGUCUUACCAUACAAUUCAGCAAUAGUGCUCCUAAGUAUGUGGCCCAAUAAAUUGAAAACUCAUGUUCACACAAAAACUUGCACAUAAUUACUUAUAGCAGCUUUUUUUCAUAAUUGAUGAAAAUUGUAAACUGUCAAGAUGUCCUUCAAUAGGUGAAGAGAUGAACAAACUGAUAUGUCAAUAAAAUGGAAUAUUAUUCAGUGAUAAAAAGAAACAAGGUAUCAAGCCACAUGGAGAACCUCAAAAGCCUAUUGCUAAGUGAAAAAAACAAAAAGCCAAUUUGGAAAGGCUACAUGUUGAAUCAUCGCAAAUGUAUGACAUUCUGGAAAAGACAAAACUACAGAAACUGUAGAAAGAUGAGUGUUUGUCAGAGGGAGGUAAUUGAGGGAGGAAUGAAUAGAUGGAGCACAGAGGACUUUUAGGGCAUUAAAAGUAAACUGUAUGAUAUUAUCAUGGUGACUAUAUGACAUUAUGCAUUUGUUAAAACCCACAGAACUGUACAACACCAAAAGUGAACCCUAAACUAAAGUACAGACUUCAGUUAAUAUAAUGGAUGUAUUAAUAUUGUUUCACAAAUAGCAACAGAUAUACCACAACAAUGCAAGAUGUUAAUAAUGGGGGAAACUCCUGUGGUGGGUAGCAGAGGUAUAUGGGAACUCUCUGUACUCUGCUCAAUAACUCUGUAAACCUAAAAAUCUCUAAAAAUUGAAGUCUGUUAGGGAUGAAAUAAUUUUUAGAUACAUGGUAAAGAAAAGAAAAGAUACUUUACUGCUCUGCCAGCGUUGUUGAAACUAGUUUUGAGAGCUGUAAUUAUUUGUUCCUGGU